rnacentral:rRNA from 1 species
UACGGAGGGUGCAAGCGUUACCCGGAAUCACUGGGCGUAAAGGGCGCGUAGGCGGACGUUUAAGUCAGAGGUGAAAGCCCAGGGCUCAACCCUGGAAUUGCCUUUGAUACUGGACGUCUUGAGACCGGAAGAGGUGAGUGGAACUGCGAGUGUAGAGGUGAAAUUCGUAGAUAUUCGCAAGAACACCAGUGGCGAAGGCGGCUCACUGUUCCGGUUCUGACGCUGAGGCGCGAAAGCGUGGGGAGCAAACAGG